GUUUUUAUUUGACUACUCCAGAACUCGGGAGCCAACACAGCCAGUUAAAACUGGGUUUUCUCCGGCGCGCCCUGUCACGCGGCUGGCCGCCAAGCUCGCCAAUGGGAAGAUGAAGAGAUUUCUACAGCGCGAUCCGGGGGCUGUGGCACUUGACUUUACCAAGAAGGAUCACGCUGCUACCUGGAGAAGACCAUUUUUUCUAUUCAGGCCAAGGAAUGGAAGAAACACUGAACACCCAGUAGGAUAGACCAAGAGUUCAGUGGCAAAGGGAAGCUGGAUCAGAUAAGACAACCCAGCAAUUAUUUGGGGCAAAUGUCAAAUUUCUUCCUAUGAACAAUAUGUAAAGAUAAUUCUCUUGCUCUAUAUUCACUGAAAUAUUCAGUUGUAAAAGAAUAA